AACGUAGACCUCGAGCGUUAUCCGGAUUUAUUGGGCGUAAAGAGCAUGUAGGAGGUUUCGCGCGUCUUUCGUUAAAGCCCAGGGCCUAACCCUGGAGGUGCGGGAGAUACGGCGGAACUAGAGGAGGUUAGAGGUGCAUGGAACGCACGGUGUAGGGGUGAAAUCCGUUGAUAUCGUGCGGAACACCAAAGGCGAAGGCAGUGCACUGGGACCUUCCUGACUCUGAGAUGCGAAAGCGUGGGGAG
rnacentral:rRNA from 1 species